ACUCAAAUGAAUUGACGGGGGCCCGCACAAGCGGUGGAGCAUGUGGCUUAAUUCGAUGCAACGCGAAGAACCUUACCUGGCCUUGACAUCUAUCGUGAAAGCCGAUGAAAGUCGGUGACGGCCCGAAAGGGUGCUGGGGAUAGACAGGUGCUGCAUGGCUGUCGUCAGCUCGUGUCGUGAGAUGUUGGCUUAAGUGCCGCAACGAGCGCAACCCCUGUGACUAGUUGCUUACGGGAAACCGUAAGGUCUCUAGUCAGACUGCCUCGAUUACCAUCGAGGAGGAAGGUGGGGAUGACGUCAAGUCAGUAUGGCCCUUACGGCCAGGGCUGCACACGUGCUACAAUGCCCGGUACAGAGGGAAGCAAGACCGCAAGGUGGAGCAAAUCCCUUAAAACCGGGCUCAGUUCGGAUCGCAGGCUGCAACUCGCCUGCGUGAAGCCGGAAUCGCUAGUAAUGGCGUAUCAGCUACGACGCCGUGAAUACGUUCCCGGGCCUUGUACACACCGCCCGU
rnacentral:rRNA from 1 species